rnacentral:rRNA from 1 species
UGGGGAAUCUUGCACAAUGGGCGAAAGCCUGAUGCAGCAACGCCGCGUGCGGGAAGAAGGCCCUAGGGUUGUAAACCGCUUUCAGCAGGGAAGAAAAUGACGGUACCUGUAGAAGAAGGUGCGGCCAACUACGUGCCAGCAGCCGCGGUGACACGUAGGCACCAAGCGUUGUCCGGAUUUAUUGGGCGUAAAGAGCUCGUAGGCGGUUCGGUAAGUCGGGUGUGAAAACUCUGGGCUCAACCCAGAGCCGCCACCCGAUACUGCUGUGACUUGAGUUCGGUAGGGGAGCGGGGAAUUCCUGGUGUAGCGGUGAAAUGCGCAGAUAUCAGGAGGAACACCAGUGGCGAAGGCGCCGCUCUGGGCCGAGACUGACGCUGAGGAGCGAAAGCGUGGGUAGCAAACAG